CAGGUCUCCUAAAGCAAGGGCCCUCUUAAGUAAAAGGAAAAUCCUUACAUGCAGCUUCUGGAACUUUUUUCUUGUUUUGUUUUGGUCCUGUCCCCUCCCCACCCUUUCUUUUGUUAUUUUUCUUUUGUUUGGGGUUUUGGGUUUUUUUCUUUAACCAACAGCUGUCCUCAGCCUGCAUGAGACUGUUGCAAUAGAAUUAUUCCAAAUCUAAGGAAAAACAGUAUUAACAUCAAUUGAUCAAAGCAGAAUAAAGUUCUAAAAUAAUCUUAUCCAUCAGUUAUCCUGUUCAUAAUCCUCUGUGUCUUCCCAUUAACUUCUGCCAGUGUUACUGUAUUAAAAAAAGAGAUUUUUUAAAUGCUAAAUAAAAAGGUAUGCUUUAAGCUUCAGAAGUUAAAAUAUAAAUUCUGUUGCUUUUCUUCAGCUGCAGAUAACAGUACCUUUUUAUUGCUGUUUUCUUUGAGUAUCAUGUCCUUCACUAGAAACAAGAAGUGAUGUGAAACAAGGCUGAACUAGUCUGAACUGCAGUGAGACUCGUUCACUGUGUUGAUGGUUCAUCAUCUUAUUUAUUGCUUGUUUGGGAUAUUCUGGAGAUUGAGAAAUAUGCCUAUAAAAAGAAAGCUGGAUUGAUCCAGUUCUGUCACAGUGAUAUUGUUCAUUGGUUGUAUGUUUGUUGCAUAAAUAAGAAUUUAGUGUGCGCAGCAGAGGACUGGUACAACCAGUACCUCUUAAUGUGGAAGACAGCCCUGCCAGGGCAGCACUGCCGACCCAGUGAUAGUGUGGCAGCCUGCUGGUGAGCAGCUGAGUUCAUGGUCACUUGAUGGACGUGAACCAUCCUUGUCACCUUUCGUUCUUCAAGCAGGAUGCUUCAGAAUGGAGUGCUCUACCCAAGCAUGCUCACGACCAUGACUUAGCUGAGCACAAUGCUUCACCUCAUCCCAAAAUGCUUUUCUGGCACAGCCAGUCUGAAUAUUAUCACCACCACCACCAGUAUCCCACCAGUAACAACAACUACCUGUGGUAAGUGAAGAAUGGGGGUGACUUUUAAUAAUAAUAAUAAUCAUCAUCAUUAUUAUUGUUGGUAUUAUUAUUGUGCUAUAAUACACAAGAAUGCGGACUGUACGUGCAAUCUUGGCUAAUCCACAAGCUGAAGCCUUCAAAUAGAGCAGGUGAUUUGAAAAUAAUUGGAGAGUUACAUGGUGGAGGUUUACUUUGCUGUAGCUCUACAAUUUUCACAAGUCACGUCAGUGCGUAUGCAUGCUGCUAAUAGUAUUAGGAAUGUUUUACUGCUUAAUAUGAUAUUCACAGAUAUGUUUCAUUUUUGGUUGGAUUUUUUAAUAACAUUUUCAGUCUGUAGAUAAAACUGUUUAUAUGAAAUAAUACAGACUUAGAAAUACCUUGAAGUCUCAUAUCUACUUUGAUUAUUUUCUGGAGCUCAAUUGAUCUGCAAUGGUUUUAGUUUUGGGCUGCUUGUCAUAUCAGUGCAUGCUAAAUGCUUUGCAUUGAAAUUCUGAUGCAAUAUGCAGCUUAUUGCAUCAGCAUAUUCCUGUGAGCUAUGAACCUACUUUACCUCUGCGUGAUUGAAAUACUGUGUACAGUAUGCAAAUUUUCUUAUAAUUAAACAUUACUGUGCCUUGACAAGAGCUAGGCUCAUAGAUUCCAGAUAAUCUUGAUGUUAAUUAAGUUUCAAUUUAUAAUGUGCUUCACUCUUUGUAUUAAACUUUAGCUUAUUACUUUUUGCUAAAUACAAUGUACAUAAACAUGACAGCUUUU
ensembl:lncRNA